GUUUUUGUGGCGUAAGUAGUUUGUUUGUUCGGUUGUUAACUGAAUGGUUGGGGGUUCAAGUCCACCCAGAGACA